rnacentral:rRNA from 1 species
AAACGACAUCGAAAGCUUGCUUUUGAUGGGCGUCGACCGGCGCACGGGUGAGUAACGCGUAUCCAAUCUGCCCACCACUUGGGGAUAACCUUGCGAAAGUAAGACUAAUACCCAAUGAUAUCCCACGAAGGCAUCCGAAUGGGAUUAAAGAUUUAUCGGUGAUGGAUGGGGAUGCGUCUGAUUAGCUUGUUGGCGGGGUAACGGCCCACCAAGCCCACGAUAUCUAGGGGUUCUGAGAGGAAGGUCCCCACAAUGGAACUGAGACACGGUCCAUACUCC